GUAGGUGAACCUGCGGAAGGAUCAUUAACUCAAUAUAUGUGUAGUCACUUCGGUGGCUAUGCAUCAUAUUACCAAAAACCAAAUUUACAAUCCGUGAAACUAUAACAAAACCAAAAUGAAUGGGUUCGCGUGUCAUUACUUUGUUUGAAUGCACGUACUCAGCCAAUACCAAUUCCACGUACUAAUUUUUAACCAUAUUAACCCAUUACUGUAACGAUCUUUUCACGCAAGUGUGAAGAGCGUACUAAAA
rnacentral:misc_RNA from 1 species